rnacentral:rRNA from 1 species
GAUGAACGCUGGCGGCGUGCUUAACACAUGCAAGUCGAACGGAAAGGCUCCUGCUUGCCGGGGUACUCGAGUGGCGAACGGGUGAGUAACACGUGGGUGAUCUGCCCUGCACUUCGGGAUAAGCCUGGGAAACUGGGUCUAAUACCGGAUAGGACCACAUUUUGGAUGGUGUGGUGGAAAGUUUUUCGGUGUGGGAUGAGCUCGCGGCCUAUCAGCUUGUUGGUGGGGUAAUGGCCUACCAAGGCGUCGACGGGUAGCCGGCCUGAGAGGGUGUACGGCCACAGUGGGACUGAGAUACGGGCCAGACUCCGACGGGAGGCAGCAGUGGGGAAUAUUGCACAAUGGGCGCAAGCCUGAUGCAGCGACGCCGCGUGGGGGAUGACGGCCUUCGGGUUGUAAACUCCUUUCGCUAGGGACGAAGCGUUUUUGUGACGGUACCUGGAGAAGAAGCACCGGCUAACUACGUG